rnacentral:rRNA from 1 species
UACGGAGGGUGCAAGCGUUAAUCGGAAUUACUGGGCGUAAAGGGUGCGUAGGUGGUCUGAUAAGUUAUCUGUGAAAGCCCUGGGCUUAACCUAGGAAGGUCAGAUAAGACUGUUAGACUUUGAGUAUAGGAGAGGGUAGUGGAAUUUCCGGUGUAGCGGUGAAAUGCGUAGAGAUCGGAAGGAACACCAGUGGCGAAGGCGGCUACCUGGCCUAAUACUGACACUGAGGCACGAAAGCGUGGGGAGCAAACAGG